CCGACCUUAGCUCAGUUGGUAGAGCGGGAGACUGUAGUUUGAGGAUAGAAAUCUCUAGGUCGCUGAUUCGAAUCCGGCAGGUCGGA
rnacentral:tRNA from 1 species